rnacentral:rRNA from 1 species
UGAACGCUGGCGGUAGGCCUAACACAUGCAAGUCGAACGGCAGCACAGUAAGAGCUUGCUCUUACGGGUGGCGAGUGGCGGACGGGUGAGGAAUACAUCGGAAUCUACUUUUUCGUGGGGGAUAACGUAGGGAAACUUACGCUAAUACCGCAUACGACCUACGGGUGAAAGCAGGGGAUCUUCGGACCUUGCGCGAUUGAAUGAGCCGAUGUCGGAUUAGCUAGUUGGCGGGGUAGAGGCCCACCAAGGCGACGAUCCGUAGCUGGUCUGAGAGGAUGAUCAGCCACACUGGAACUGAGACACGGUCCAGACUCCUACGGGAGGCAGCAGUGGGGAAUAUUGGACAAUGGGCGCAAGCCUGAUCCAGCCAUACCGCGUGGGUGAAGAAGGCCUUCGGGUUGUAAAGCCCUUUUGUUGGGAAAGAAAAGCAGCAGGUUAAUACCCCGCUGUUCUGACGGUACCCAAAGAAUAAGCACCGGCUAACUUCGUG